GGAGGGGUGGCCGAGCGGCUGAAGGCGGCGGUUUGCUAAACCGUUAUAGGGGUAAUACCUCUAUCGAGGGUUCGAAUCCCUCUCCCUCCGCCA
rnacentral:tRNA from 1 species